rnacentral:misc_RNA from 1 species
GGGGAAGCGGGUUAAAAUUCCUGCACCAUC